AAAGUGUAUCUAGAAAGAA
rnacentral:rRNA from 3 species